rnacentral:lncRNA from 1 species
AUGACGUGUUCUACAUGGCCACGGAGGAAACCAGGAAGAUCCGCAAGCUGCUCUCCUCCUCGGAAACCAAGCGUGCUGCCCGCCGGCCCUACAAGCCCAUCGCCCUGCGCCAGAGCCAGGCCCUGCCGCUGCGGCCGCCGCCGCCUGCGCCCGUCAACGACGAGCCCAUUGUCAUCGAGGACUAGGGGCUGCCCCCACCUGCGGCUGCCCCCCCGCCCCUCGCCUGCCCACGCGGCCCCUUCCCAGCCAGCCCGCCGCCCGCCCCUCAGUUUGGUAGUGCCCCACCUCCCGCCCUCACCUGCAGAGAAACGCGCUCCUUGGCGGACACGGGGAGGAGAGGAAGAAGCGCGGCUAACUUAUUCCGAGAAUGCCGAGGAGUUGUCGUUUUUAGCUUUGUGUUUACUUUUUGGCUGGAGCGGAGAUGAGGGGCCACCCGUGCCCCUGUGCUGCAGGGCCUUUUGCCCGGAGGCCGGGCCCUAAGGUUUUGUUGUGUUCUGUUGAAGGUGCCAUUUUAAAUUUUAUUUUUAUUACUUUUUUUCUAGAUGAACUUGAGCUCUGUAACUUACACCUGGAAUGUUAGGAUCGUGCGGCCGCGGCCGGCCGAGCUGCCUGGCGGGGUUGGCCCUUGUCUUUUCAAGUAAUUUUCAUAUUAAACAAAAACAAAGAAAAAAAAUCUUAUAAAAAGGAAAAAACCAACCCGUCCUUCCCUGUGUCUUUUGUUCCCAGUCCCUCUCCCUGACUCAGGCCCUGGGCUCCCCACCCGCAUCGGGCGGCCCUAGGCUGUGGCUCUGCCCUGGAGCCGGAGGCCCCUGGAGAGCCACCCCAGCCUCUGGGCUCUGUUCCUCUCCCACCUGCCCACAGACCUUCCCCUGCGGGGCCUGGCGCAGUGCUCUCUGCCCUCCACAGGGGCAGCAGGCAGUCGCAGGGCCCAGCCCCUUCCCCAGUGGAGCUGUGCUGAAACCUGUGCGUGUGUCCGCAGCAGUGCUGGCUGGGGACUGCCGCCCACCAGGCAGAGCUGGCCCUGCCGAAGACCCUGUGGCUUCCCACCAGGGCACAGCACUGCUGGGCCGGCGAGGCCUUGGAGUGCUCCAGCCGGAGUUCCAACCUCCUGGCCAUAUAGAGCCUGGCCCCAGCCGCCCAGGCGUUUCUGCCCAGAGCUGUGGCCCCCAAGCAGGUGUGCACUCUCCACAGUAAGAAUCUGCUCAGAUUUCAGCAAGCACAUUCUCAGAAAUCCUG